CCGUAGAAGCCACCUGUUCUC
rnacentral:siRNA from 1 species